UACGUAGGGGCCUAGCGUUGUCCGGAUUUAUUGGGCGUAAAGAGCGCGUAGGCGGCCCGACAAGUCCGCUGUGAAAGUCAAGGGCUCAACCCUCGAAUGCCGGUGGAUACUACGGAGCUUGAGUCCUGAAGAGGAGAGCGGAAUUCCCGGUGUAGAGGUGAAAUUCGUAGAUAUCUGGAGGAACACCGGUGGCGAAGGCGGCAUCCUGGACCAAUACUGACGCUGAGGAGCGAAAGCCAGGGGAGCAAACGGG
rnacentral:rRNA from 1 species